GCGAUUUCGUACUUGAUAUAUUCGGCUAUUAUGGGCAUAACAGCAGAUGAUACGGGAGUAGUGGAGAUAUUAUUCGCCUGCGUUGGGGGAGCGCUGGGCUUUUACUUCUGGCUGGUGGUGCUCAGUUACUAUCAAGAACUGAAGGCUAAUGCAACGACGGAACAGUUACCAGACGAAAAAGCCACGGGACAGUUUCCACUUUGAUAAAAAAAAGUCACUCUUCAUUCAGUGCCAAAAUUGGGUAUGGAGGUUAAGAUUCAGAUUACGACGAUUACGUAAAUAUGCAUAGGCAUACGUUCUUUAAAUGUGACAGUGUUGUGCUUUUGGUAGUCUGAUUUUUCUUUCUUUUUUCCCCGAGAGGGAUUGGGUUGUAUCGUUGUGUAUUCAUUUUGAGUUGUUUGUUUCUCAAUAGAACUUUUUGUUUUAGCCUCAG